rnacentral:rRNA from 1 species
AAGUCAGGUGUGAAAGCCUUCUGUUCAAAGGAAGAACGGCAUCUGAAACUGCAGAUCUUGAGUGUAGGAGGGGAGAGUGGAACUUCUGGUGGAGCGGUGAAAUGCGUAGAUAUCAGAAGGAACGUCGGCGGCGAAAGCGACUCUCUGGCCUAUUACUGACACUGAGGUGCGAAAGUUAGGGGAGCAAACGGGAUUAGAUACCCCGGUAGUCCUAACCGUAAACGAUGGGCACUAAGUAGAGGGAAUUACCAAUGUUCUCUCUGCCGUAGCUAACGCAUUAAGUGCCCCGCCUGGGGAGUACGGCCGCAAGGCUAAAACUCAAAAGAAUUGACGGGGGCUCGCACAAGCGGUGGAGCAUGUGGCUUAAUUCGAUGCAACGCGAAAAACCUUACCGGGGUUUGACAUGGUAGAAGUAGGAGCCCGAAAGGGCAACCAACGGUAUCCAGUCCGUAACUAUUACAGGUGUUGCAUGGCUGUCGUCAGCUCGUGUCGUGAGACGUUGGGUUAAGUCCCCUAACGAGCGAAACCCUUGUUUUUAGUUACCAGCGGGUUAUGCCGGGUACUCUAGAAAGACUGCCGUCGUCAAGACGGAGGAAGGUGGGGAUGACGUCAAGUCAUCAUGGCCCUUAUGCCCCGGGCUGCACACGUGCUACAAUGGUCGGUACAAACGGAAGCGAAG